CGUUAGGCGGAAUCACUGGGCUUAAAGCGUGUGUAGGCGGAUUUGUAAGUACCUUGUGAAAUCCCACUGCUCAACCGUGGAACUGCUCGGUAUACUGCUUAUCUUGAGCCACUUAGGGGCUACCGGAACAAAUGGUGGAGCGGUGAAAUGCAUAGAUAUCAUUUGGAACGCCAAUGGUGAAAACAGGUAGCUGGGAGGGUGCUGACGCUGAGACACGAAAGCCAGGGGAGCGAACGGG
rnacentral:rRNA from 1 species